rnacentral:lncRNA from 1 species
AUCUCGCACGACCCAGGCAGCAGGUGGGCACCGUGGCCCAGAUCUCCAUCUAUCUGGUCAAGUCCUCCAAGGGGGUAUAGGUCAACAAGGCUGAGUGCGCCACCAUGGGACUGCGCUGUGGCCACUUGUGAGACAGGUUUUGGCUGGUGAUUAAGGAAGAUGGAUACGUGGUCACUGCCUGGCAGGAGCCUUGUCUUGUGCUGGUCUCCAUCACUUAUGAGAGCAACUGCCUGAUCCUCUAGGCUCCCGACAUGGAACAGCUGGUUUUGCCUGUCAAGCAGCCUUCUUCAAACCCACUCCAUGACUGCAGGCUAUUUGGCCUUGACAUUAAAGGCAGAGAUUGUGGGUCUCAGGCCGCGUAGUGGUUCACCAACUACUUGAAAACAGAAGCAAACAGAUUGGUUUAAUUUGAAACAAUCAUGAAGGGAAGAGCAUCAAAGAAAAUUUUCCUUUUUGUACAGAAUUACCAGGUGGCUUAUCCAGACUGAAGCCCAAUCAUGGAAAU